rnacentral:lncRNA from 1 species
GCCUUUUAGAAACUUAUAGCCACCAUUAGUCAGACGCUAGUAAUAUAUAGCGUCCAACUGUCAGACCCUAUCCAUAAUAGAAAAUAACAGCACAGUUAUUCAUUAACCUCAAGAUUAGUACUAAUCAUACAAUCAAACAUACAAUCAAUGAGCCAUAAAAUCACCAAUUCCAUUUUGGACAAUACACAAUCAUGACAAUGAAGUUCAUCAUAGCUCACAAUUAUAUUAUAUCCAUAAACAUUUGUCUUGUGUUAUUUUCCACAACUUGCACAAAUAAGUUACAUGGCAUACGUACGGUUUGGCCAUCAAGAUAUAUGCAUAGCGCAUAGAUGCUUGAACUAGUUGCACAGCUCACAUCUCAUGGUUUGCUUGCACUCAUUACAAAAUGAUUCAUAACUUAAGUCUUAACAAAAGCAUUCAUCUCUAGUUAGGAUGUACAAAAUAAUGCACUAGUCAUGCACACUUCAGCCAACUGCUUCCUGCAUGGCCACCUCAAGCUAUUACCUCCCACCUGCAAAUAAAAGAUUACAUCCAUCAAUGAAAACUAGAAAUCCAACUCUUACAAAGUUCUAAAUUCAUGACACACUUGGUCUAGUGCUACUGUCAACACACAUGCUACUGUUGAUCUAAUGCUACUGUCAACUAUAUAUAUGGACAUAAUCUUCUCUUUUCUCCAGUCAAAUUGGAACAAAAAGUGUUCGACAACCAUGAACAUAACAUACAACAGAUCAGCUCCCUAAUUCAUAAUAAUCUUAUUUAAGAUGGAAUUGGUUUCUUUACCCUUUGGGACAGUACCUAUUGGAUUGAAUAUUAAUUGUCUGUUGAGGAAGACAAUUCUGCUGUUUGAGAAACUAAUGAAGGGAUGAUGUACAGCGCAUUCAGUUACACAUAAUCAGUAAAAUGGUCUUGGCAGUACAGUUACACAUACGUGCAUAUGGUUUCUUCUAUUUGAUAGAUAUGCAAUUGUAUCUAGCUAAUGAAUAUGAAGGCAGCAGCUGCGCGCAUGUUUCCCCACAUAGGUGCGUACGGUUCCUUCUAUCUGAUAAAAUAUGCGAUGCUCAUUUCAAUCUUAGAAUUUCAGAGAAUUCAAUGUCAAACUAAACAUGCGUGCUGCACCUUAAGGGAUUCCUAAAUCCCAAAUCCAGAGAAUAUAUACUUGACAUACCACAUACACAAACACAAUCAUGCGUGUUGCAGCAAGGAAGAUGACAGUCUGGCCGUACGGCAAAAAGGUUAAAAACAUCGAGUCACAGACGCGGAACGCGAUUAGCUGCAUUGAUGCGAGGGGAGACAACUUGGCAGCCAACCCUGCUUGCUUGCUGGGCUCUAGCUUUGGGGAAUAGAAAGAAUACUACUAGACUUACGUAUCCUGGCGUCAAGGGCCCUGUUCGUCGGCACCACUCGCACCCCCAGGGCUGGGCCUGCACGAGAUCUCAGGGAUUACCUUCGUGAUGCAGCUGACGGAUCCCUGGCUGCCGAGUUCAUCGACGGCGGAUCUAGCCUCAGCGCCGCCGGAGGUGCUGUGGGGCAUGUCGAUCCGGCCACCAGACUCCAGCCCCGCGCUGCAACCGCAGGAACGUGGGCCGCCGCCCGUCGCCAUGCCGCCUUGCUACACCGGCUAUGUGCAGUCGCACUCGCACCGCUGCUAGAGGGGCGCGCCGUCGAAGGAGCCCCCGUGCUCGAUCCACGCACACGAGAGACAGAGGGAGGGAGAGUUGGGCUUUCACUUGAGGGUGGGUGAAUGCACGAGAGGAUGGCUGGGAGAGAGAGUGGGAGGUUAGGGUUUGGAAGGGAUGAAGAGGUGCUUAUAUACCUAUGUUUUCGAUCCAACGGCCUUGAUUCAUUUGUGGUACAUCCAACGACCGGAAUAUAUCGGGCUGCAUAGUACUGGCCUAAAAACGGUUGAAUGGGCUGAAUUACACUCUUGGUUUUUUUUUUCUUCCAAAAUUUAUGAAUUUCAGAAUGCAAAAAAUUCAACCAUUUUUCAAUACCUAAAUCACCUCAAAUUAGAAAUUCAUGAAUACCAAGUUUGUUCAACUCAUGAAGAUCUAUAAUUGUUAUAUAGGUCAUUUUUGCAUUUGAAAAGUGUUGGAAAAAUCUAGUUAUAAAUUGACAAGUCUCUCACAUAGUUUCAUAAACCAUAUAUGAGAUUAAUGAAUUUGUGACUAGUGUUUUCUAACACUUUCUCAAAUGCAAAACUGACAUAUAUAAACAUUGUUUAUCUUGAUGAGUUAUACAACUCUUGUAUUCAAUAUUUUUUCAGCUGAGGUCGUUUAGAUGUUCAUUUGACGAUGUUUGACCAAGUCGCGUAUUUUUCGCGUAAAAUCGCGUGCUACGCGGUCGGUAGGAUUCGAACCUGAGACCUCACCCUCGCGCGUACCCUGCUCUACCACUCCACCUAUCACUCACUUGUAUUUGUAUUAGAGUUUAGUUCCCCACAUACUAUCCUAAACCAAGCAUAAAUUGAUUAUUUUGGUUUUACAACUUUUUAGGCGCCGGCUUUGAGCACUUCUGUACUAGUGUGCGUUAGAUUUUAGGCACAAAAGGUGAGCACAGCCUUAUUCCAAUAUAGCGACCAACAGUCAGACCCAAAACUAGGAUUUAGCGGCCAACUGGGGGAUGCUAAAUCAAAAUAACUAUACUGUCCGAUGGUUGGACGCUAAAGAAAGAUAUAGCGACCGACCGUUGGCCACCAUGUUAUAGCGACCGACCAUCCAACGCUACUUCCGUACUUAUAGCGACCCUCUGUUGGACGCUACGUUGGGCUGUGGUAUAGUGUUCGUUUAUCCAUCUUGGGAGAAGAAGCCUCUAAUCAAGCCCUAGAGCCACCACACCAAUAGAUCUCUAGUUUAGCAUAGCUACAUAGGAUUAGAACUAGAAGGAGUCAAUCUUCGAUUGGUUUCCGGAUCUGUCAGGAGGAUUCUUGGUAAUUCCUCUAUUGUUCUUCAAUUGUUCAUCUUUGUUCUUCAGUAUUAUGAAUGUGACUUUGUUCUACUUCAAUAUAUUGAUUAUGACUUUGCUCUACUUGUUUAUAUUCGCAAUUAUAUUGUUCUUAGUUUAUCAUAGUUAUAUGCUUGGCUUAGUUAGAUUGGAAUUAUAUACAUGUUUAGGAUCGUAUAGCGUUUAUCCAUGUGUACAGUGGGUAAAUAAUAAGUAUUGUGUAGGCGUGGUGCCUAUACCGUAUUUAUCUGCGAUUGUACCCUAUAUGCCAGAUCGUGGGGUAGUUCGUGGUAGUGACAGCUCCAUUGAUUCUUAUAUAGUCCCCCUCUCGUGUAUAGGGCUGGCAGAGCAACAUUAUUACAGGGGAGUGAUUGCUAUGUUUCUCAUAUUCCUUGAUAAUAUCACUAUGCAUGGGCGUAGUCCUGUCUCGCAAUGAUUGCCAAGUAUAAUUGCACUAACUAUGAAAUGCUAGACUUUAUAGUUAAGAAUAACUUAGGAAAUAUUCUUGUAGUUCGUUCUAAUUCCAUGCUAAUGACUUGCUAGAAUAUCUAUUGAGGUGCUUAUCAUAUUUAUAUGUGGCUAGUUAUGCUGAUCAGAUUAAUUAUCUUUGUCACCAUUCAUACUUUAUCUAUCUUUUAUGUGACACUUAUCCCUGUAUGAAAGAGAUAGAUAAAUGCUCUCAAUUAUACAUGCAAUGAUAGAUACUCAAUUCUAUAUUCCAUUCCAUAAUCAACAUUGAUGUUUAGCAAUCCCUUCCCAGUGGUAAAAAUAUAAAUAACGAUACCUGGAAUACUUUCCGGUUAAAAUGCUACAUCGGUAUUAAUCUUUGCGCUUGCAGAUCUCAUUUAUUAUUUAUUCAGAAGAGCAAUUGCAUAUUUCAAUACCGCGUCUCUCAUGUCAUGCUGGGGAUGACAACUUGGCUUAAGUGGCAUGAGGGAUAGGUUUGGCAUUUUUGGCUCUGUUAUCAGAAUUAGAAAACUAAGUCUAUUUUUGGUAAUGACGUUAAGAAUGCCCAACACAGUCCUAGAGACAGGAGGAGCAGGACAUAGCCAUUGGAGCAUUCGCAGAUGCUGAGGCCGAGGAGGAGUUUGAGUUUGCUUCAGACAGUUUAGACCAUGAUUAUCGUCUCGCUGUGCCAGAUCUUCCUCCGAGGCAGCAUGACCACGAGGCAGGAGGUUCUUCCAGUGCUACGGACCCAGCUUUGCUUGCUAUACUAGAGGGGAGAGGGCCGAUCAGUGGAGGGCAGCUGAGGAGCAGGCUAGGAGAGACAGAGAUCAGGCUACCGUCAAUGCAGCCAUGCAGACCAAGCAGGACGAGCUUCAGAGACAGCUCCUGACCUUCCAGGAGCAGCAGCUGGCUUUCCAGGCCCAGCAGACUGCCAUGAUGGCCGCUCUUAUGGCCGCAUCAGGGAUUUAGCUACCGCAGAUCUAGCUUCUAGGCACCUGUUUCAGAGUCAGUCGCAGCCGCCUCUCUAGCUACCUGCUCAGAGUCAGCUGUUCUCGACUCCUCAGCACUAGGUUUCUCAGGGUGUUAUCUCUUCUGGCUUUGAGCAGGUGCCCUAGUUUACCCCACUGUGCUUAGGCUUUACUCUAUAGUCAGCGACAACCUCAUAGCUUGUGUUGGACUCAUUGACAGGGCAGCACGUCUCCUUCUCAUAUAGUGCUCUAACUAGUGACCCUACGCCUUCUCCACUGCAGGCUCCUGCAGCUUUUACGCUCCCAGUCACCACUACCGAGCACCUGUCGUCGUCAGUGGCCUGGUCCGAGCAGCUUGCACCUUCUUCUACAUUGCCAGCGAUGUCAGCUACAGCUACAGAGUCCGUGCCAGCUUCUUCUGCAGGACUAGAGCCACCAGCACAGACCGUGAUAGCUACUGAGCCCACCGAGCAGACCCGGACCGCUUCCCCAGCUCCUGCAAUUUCCGAGGGUCACUCUACCUCCUUCGAGUCGACGGCCGAUGGAUCAGAUGAUGCAGCUCAAUUUCAGGUCGUGCCGCGGGACUCCACUGCUCCACCUCUGCCUCCUUUGACUUAGGUUUUUGGCGCUUGAUGCCAAAGGGGGAGAGGGUUUUAGAGUAUGAUAGAUUUAGGGGGAGCUAGAGCUAGAGAGGGCUUUUGGCUUUUGAUUACUUUGUGUGCUACUUCAUGCAUCAUGUUUCCUUUAUGCAUUUGUGUGAUAUACUUGUGAGAUACGUUUAUGGUUGUGAGACAUGACAUUAUGCGUCAUUGUGAUAUCUUUAUGUCAUGUGUUUGGCUCAUAUUACUUUGCUUCUAUGUUUUUUACUCUGAUGUACUAUGAGCCAUAUGUUAUAUCCUGUUGUACACAUCUCACAUAUUUGGAUGUAGGAUGGUAGACUUGGUUGAUAUAAGCAUGACUAAUCACUUUGUGUUCUUAUUGUCUCAUGCUUAUAGAAACCAAGUCAUUUGAAAACCUCAUUUCCUUCAUACUCGAGGUUAUUGUCAUCAAUCACCAAAAAGGGGGAGAUUGAAAGAGCAUCUAGGCCCUAAUGAGUUUCGGUGAUUAAUGACAAUGUUGAUUAUUGUGACUAACGUGUGUUUUGCAGAGGCAAAGUCGUUAGUGUUAGGUCAUGGUAACAGGUACUCGAUGAACAGGGACAUACAUGCCUACUUAAUAGUAGAAAUCAUCUCGAUUUUUAAAGGAUGAAUGUACAUCGUCAAGACUAGACUAGGUCUAAGUGCCAUAUGGUGAAGAAGUGCACUUAGAGUAGUUUAGGACUUUGUUUUCCUUUGACCGUACUAUUAAGAGGGGCUUUGAUUUAGUAGCUUGACUUAGGCAAGGCUUUAGGUUUAGGUGUGGUGCACACUUGGUAAACCUAGCACUAGGCAGCUCAGAGAUAGCCCUUAGAUCGUGAGGAACAAACUUUGUUUUGGAACGGUCAUGUUUCGAUGAAGUUUGGGUGCCUAUGUUGGCACCGGACGCUGCACGAGAU